GCCUGCCUGGCUCAGUGGGAAAAGCAUGUGACUCCUGAUCUCAAUGUCCUGAGUUCGAGCCUCACGUUGGGUG
rnacentral:tRNA from 1 species